CUUUUAUGUCAAAACAACCCUUUGUCCAGCUGUCCUUGUUAUGGAGCCUUUAGCUGCUCUGACUGCUCUUGUAUGCAUGUUCUACUCUUGUUAAUGAAGAGGAACAUCGUUUAAGGAGCAGGUUGUUGUGGUCGAUUGGAACUUUGGAGGACCCUGGUAUAAAGGAGUUCUGCUUUCUCGUGUUUUUACUUUUUAGAGUUUGUGACACCUUCUUUGUCCUUAAAAACUCUGUCCCAUACAAACUGCGAGGUGUUUACUCCGUGCUCCGUCUUCAAUGUUGUACAUUUCUCUGUUGUGGGCUGCAGCUUUUCUGCCUU